AUGCGGCGGAAGGGGCAAUGGAUGCACAAGAAGGGUCCACAAGAGCGUCGGAGCAGUCAAUUGGAUAGACCGACCCUAGAGCUCCUGGCCGGAAAAGAAGAACUAGUGGUGAGAGUAGGUGCUGCUGUCCCAGUAAGGAUGCCAUGUCCUAACCGGACUACUGCUCUGGAGAAGGCUAUCCAUGGUUUUGCCGACAAUCUUGGGGACAAUGUCAUAGUGCCAACUUUGGGUACAACCUUUGAUUCUCUGGGUGAAGCAUACGACUUCUAUAACCUAUAUUUGUGGAUAAAUGAUUUGGCAUUAGAUACGACAAAAGGUCGAAUUGCUGAGACGACAGGGGUGGAGAGGGGCGACUCCAUUGGCGGUGAUGGAGUUGCUGAUGCGACCCAUGAGCAGGGUUGCAGAUUCCCCUUUCUGGAGGAAUUGGAUGAGAGUGCAACCCCGAUGGAACCGGCAGCGUUCACAGUGGUUCGUUUGGUACCGGCUGCCGAGCAAUCGGCGGGACUAGCCAUGAGCGCGGACAAGCAGGUUGUGAGGAAGACAUGGCAAAAGGUGAGUGAUGCUGUCAUACGUGUAUUGACGUCCCCUUGGGGUUCAGAACAUUCAGACAGCUUGGAGCAUGUUGUUACUAAUUUGAAGCUGCGCAAUGGAAUCGAGAUCAUGAUGCUCAAUCUUGAUCUGGUUGCUGGGAUGAAAAGAGACAAGACGAAUCUUGAAGAGGAAGACUGUUCGGUGGGGAGACGGAUGGCAGUAAAUGGGCCAGCGAAGGUAGCAGGCAUUGAAACAGAAGUCUGGGCCACGGCCCAGGCCGUUGGCAGCCAUCUGAGCCGGCGCUAG
rnacentral:rRNA from 1 species